GUGAACUCCCUUUCCGCCUGCAAGGUGCUGCAUGGUUGUCGUCAGCUCGAGCCGUGAGGUGUCAGGUUAAGUCAUAUAACGAGCGCAACCCCUACCGUUAGUUGCCAGCGAGUCAAGUCGCUCUAACGGGACUGCCGGUGCAAACCGUGAGGAAGGUGGGGANGACGUCAAAUCAUCACGGCCCUUACGUCCUGGGCCACACACGUGCUACAAUGGCCGGUACAGAGGGAAGCCACCCCGCAAGGGGGCGCGGAUCUACAAAUCACAGUUCGGAUCGGGGUCUGCAACUCGACCCCGUGAAGCUGGAAUCGCUAGUAAUCGGAUAUCAGCCAUGAUCCGGUGAAUACGUUCCCGGGCCUUGUACACACCGCCCGUCAAGCCAUGGAAGCCGGGAGUGCCUGAAGUCCGUCACCGCAAGGAGCGGC
rnacentral:rRNA from 1 species